rnacentral:rRNA from 1 species
AGUAAUGUAUCCGUCCCUUCGGGGCAGUGGAGACAGGUGGUGCAUGGUUGUCGUCAGCUCGUGUCGUGAGAUGUUGGGUUAAGUCCCGCAACGAGCGCAACCCUUACCUUCAGUAGCCAGCACAUAAUGGUGGGCACUCUGGAGGGACUGCCGGGGACAACCCGGAGGGAGGUGGGGACGACGUCAAAUCAUCAUGCCCCUUAUGGCCUGGGCUACACACGUGCUACAAUGGCGUAAACAGAGGGAGGCAGCCCCGCGAGGGUGAGCAAACCCCAAAAAUAACGUCCCAGUUCGGAUUGCAGUCUGCAACUCGACUGCAUGAAGCUGGAAUCGCUAGUAAUCGCGGAUCAGAAUGCCGCGGUGAAUACGUUCCCGGGUCUUGUACACACCGCCCGUCACACCAUGGGAGUUGGUAACGCCCGAAGUCAGUGACCUAACCGAAAGGGAGGAGCUGCCGAAGGUGGGACCAGUGACUGGGGUGAAGUCGUAACAAGGUAGCCGUAUCGGAA